rnacentral:rRNA from 1 species
AUGGUUGUCGUCAGCUCGUGCCGUGAGGUGUCGGGUAAGUCCCAUAACGAGCGCAACCCUAUCAUAGUUGCCAUCAGGUCAAGCUGGGGACUCUAAUGAAACUGCCUACGCAAGUAGUGAGGAAGGUGGGGAUGACGUCAAAUCAGCACGGCCCUUACGUCCAGGGCUACACACGUGCUACAAUGGCCGGUACAAAGGGCAGCUACCUGGUGACAGGAUGCUAAUCUCAAAAGCCGGUCUCAGUUCGGAUCGGAGUCUGCAACCCGACUCCGUGGAGCUGGAAUCGCUAGUAAUCGCGCAUCAGCCAUGGCGCGGUGAAUACGUUCCCGGGCCUU